rnacentral:rRNA from 1 species
UACGUAGGCAGCGAGCGUUGUUCGGAGUUACUGGGCGUAAAGAGUGCGUAGGCGGUUUGUCGCGUCGGCCGUGAAAUCUCCACGCUUAACGUGGAGCGUGCGGUCGAUACGGGCAGACUUGAGUUCGGUAGGGGAGACUGGAAUUCCUGGUGUAGCGGUGAAAUGCGCAGAUAUCAGGAGGAACACCGGUGGCGAAGGCGGGUCUCUGGGCCGAUACUGACGCUGAGGUGCGAAAGCGUGGGGAGCAAACAGG